rnacentral:rRNA from 2 species
AGCAUAUCAAUAAGCGGAGGAAAAGAAACUAACAAGGAUUCCCCUAGUAACUGCGAGUGAAGCGGGAAAAGCUCAAAUUUAAAAUCUGGCGGUCUUUGGCUGUCCGAGUUGUAAUCUAGAGAAGCGUUAUCCGCGCUGGACCGUGUACAAGUCUCCUGGAAUGGAGCGUCAUAGAGGGUGAGAAUCCCGUCUUUGACACGGACUGCCAGGGCUUUGUGAUGCGCUCUCAAAGAGUCGAGUUGUUUGGGAAUGCAGCUCAAAAUGGGUGGUAAAUUCCAUCUAAAGCUAAAUAUUGGCGAGAGACCGAUAGCGAACAAGUACCGUGAGGGAAAGAUGAAAAGAACUUUGGAAAGAGAGUUAAACAGUACGUGAAAUUGCUGAAAGGGAAACGCUUGAAGUCAGUCGCGUUGGCCAGGGAUCAACCUUGCUUUUGCUUGGUGUACUUUCUGGUUGACGGGUCAGCAUCAAUUUUGACCAUUGGAAAAAGGUCAGGGGAAUGUGGCAUCUUCGGAUGUGUUAUAGCCCUUGGUUGUAUACAAUGGUUGGGAUUGAGGAACUCAGCACGCCGCAAGGCCGGGUUUUAACCACGUACGUGCUUAGGAUGCUGGCAUAAUGGCUUUAAUCGACCCGUCUUGAAACACGGACCAAGGAGUCUAACAUGCCUGCGAGUGUUUGGGUGGAAAACCCGAGCGCGUAAUGAAAGUGAAAGUUGAGAUCCCUGUCGUGGGGAGCAUCGACGCCCGGACCUGACCUUUUGUGACGGUUCCGCGGUAGAGCAUGUAUGUUGGGACCCGAAAGAUGGUGAACUAUGCCUGAAUAGGGUGAAGCCAGAGGAAACUCUGGUGGAGGCUCGUAGCGAUUCUGACGUGCAAAUCGAUCGUCAAAUUUGGGUAUAGGGGCGAAAGACUAAUCGAACCAUCUAGUAGCUG